AUCUUCACAAAAACAUGUCUCCUAGAUGGAUGUGACGGGACAACCAGACACUUUUUUUUUUUUUUUUUUUUUUAGAAAAAGAUUGAUCGGGAUAUACACGUUGUAUCCCAUUGCCAUGGCAACCCCCGGGGGCUGGUGAAAAGAUGUUCGGGAACAGAUGACUUAAUUCCCAGCGGAGAAACAAGCCACUCAAGUCUGUCAUCCACUGCGAGGAGGGCAUUUCAACAAAGGGCAGCUCCACAUGUGGUCAAGGUGUUGAGGGAAGUGCACGCGAGGCGUCUGAAGUCCUGUUUUCCAGCUCCAACACGGUGCCGUUCGUCUUGAGAGAAGGAGCGGGGCCGCGCAGCGUGACUUCAAAAAGCACUUUCAUGCCGGCGCGAUGGAGAAAUCUCAGCAACUAGAAGGCGACAGUGACAGAUUGUGCCUUCUGCUGGAAGUACAGUGUGACAUUAGGUUGAGGCUGGAAGGUUCGGGCGCAAUAAUUUCCCCAUCACCAAGGACACCUCAAUUUGAAUACUGGCUUUAAAGUGUCACCUCAGAUAUCACUUAGUUUGGAGAUAAUGGGGUAUAAAAGGUGCAUGGGUAGGCACAAGUCAUUUUCAGACUGGUGGUUGAGAAAAUGGGGCUGCUGUGAUAAAGUAGACCAGAAGGAAUAGGCAGAGGAAAUUGCCAAAUAUGCCCAGUAUCAUUCUACCCAUCCGUCCUCACUCUUUUCUGGCAUCCUGACCCCUGCCGUCCUCCGUCUGGAUGAGUGCUUCCUCGCACCAGAGACCCUGGAGAUCGAGGAGAUUGGCUGGAGAACCAAGAGCAUGAAACCAACUGAUAAUGAAAUAUGGCUGCUUUUCUUUACAACAAGAUAAGGCCUGCCUCUCAUCUCUUGCCCUGACUAUCAGCUUCACAGAAUCUAAUGUGCUUUGUGGAAGAGGCUCACAACAUACAAACAAACCAGGCUGGACACAUGCACAUCAUUAUAUUACAGCUUAUAAUAAAACAAAACAGGCAAGAACUGAUGUGUAAUCAACAGCAGAAAACAGAGUAAGAAAGAAUUCAAGGUUAAAUUUUUACAGCCUGACAAAGACAUAAAACCAAAGGAGCAAAUACAUCACUGGGAUUCUGCAAGACACAUGUAGUCCUGGUGUUGAAAGUAUUUGUCCAUUUUGUGUCAGGUAUGUUACAUUUGGCAGGACUUACUUUUGGAUCCCAUCUUGUUCACCCUUCAACUGCUUUAUGCUCGAGUGUUUUUUGAAUUUUCUGGCCACAAUUCAACAUCCACAAGCUACUGACUUAAUUUUUAAUUUUGUUGGCUUCUGCUUUUUGCGAAUAACUCUUGAUUAUCCUGUAUUUUUGUUGCUGGUAAUCAGGAGCCCAGAUGUGCUCAGGCGACAAUAAACAACUAAAAAGGAUUCACACAAGAAGCAGUUGUGUUUUCCUCAGAAACUCGUCCAGUGUAAUAGUCAGUGAUUUGUAGUCAUGAUUUAGGAGCACCGAGGUCAUGAGUUGAAGCGCCCUCACCACCCAAAGCAUCCUCUCCUAUGUCAGUUUAACGAUGAUACGACCACAUAACACAAUAUUUAAAACUUUUCUUUUUUCCACACACAUCUUGAUAACACUGUAGACUUAAUGACAAUUUGCUGCACAGUUUCAAAAACUGUGAUUCAACCUUUACAGAGAUUGUUUCUGACAAACUACGUUCACAUGCAAUGACACCUAUAAUUUACUGGUUGAUGGUGAGACACAGAGGAUUCUGAUAUUUCCUGAACUCAGGAAAUAGGCACACUCACAGGCACAUAUGAAUUCUUGUUGCCCUCUGUGACUAUGCCAAAUGACAAACCCUACAACGUUCCAUAAAAAUGCUAAUAGGGAUUAUGGAGAGAGCCUCCAGCACUUUCCAUCAGCUGAAAGAGGCCAUUAUGUGCAAAUUUAGUUGACAUUAGUCCUGAUAUGGUUCUUAUAUAGAUGCUUCUCUCCUCACUCUGUCACUAGGUGAGGGAAUUAAUGCGUUUCAGUAGAAUAAUAGAGGUUCUGUAGGGUGAACGGAGAUUUCAUGUCGCGGGCAGGUUGGUGAUUGGCACGUUGAAUCAUCACGAGUGUGUGUAUUUGUGUGUGUGUGUGUGCUGAGAGCUAGGCGGAGGAACUGAACCCCCCGCCACCGUCACAUUGCAUUACUGACUCAGUAGCAUGGUAUCAUCACAUCAAAUUAGUCUUAAUGAACACAAGCGAGUCGACUGAGGAGAGAGAUAAUCAAACUUUUAUUAAAUGACUUAAUCUUCUGUACAUGCAUAAUGUAAUGGAAAAAAAGAGAUGGGUCUGUGAUGUUCUGUCUGCCAGGGGACGAUCUUUGCCCCAAAAUAUGUGAGUGUAUGUGGAAGCAGAGUUGUCUAUUGACUGACUAAAACCUAUAGAUUAUUUGCCACAGAGGAAGCUCACUGAACACCUCCUUAGAGGAAUUAAAAACAAUCUAAAUAUAGAAAGUAAGAUGCCUCUACCAGCCAAACCUGUUCCCUUAAGUAAACAAAAGAGAUGGAUUUCAAAUAGUAUGUUCCUUCAGUUCAUUUGGUUAUCAUACAAAAAAUGCACUGUAGCUCACUCCACACAUCUUAGAUGCCAUAAACAGAGCAGCUAAACUAUCAAAUAUCGCAAAGAACAUAACUUGUAAACAAGAGCAAAAUCCUUUAAAAAAAAAAAAAGAAUCCACAUAUAUACUAGACAAGGGUUUCACCCUAAAACAUUUCAUCACUGACAGGUACAGUAUAAUAUUUAGAUGCUAACAUUGAAAUGCGUAAAGCAUAUAAUUGAUAUAAAGUCUUGCUCGUGCCAACUUUAUCAUUUAAAUUGGAAAUAUUUCAAAUAUGAUUUUCUUCAUUCAGGUUUGUAGAUGUCUGAGUGGGAUUUAAAUGUACCAAGAAAUUAUUGAAAGAAGGUAAAUCUGGCACUAAUGUUCUUUUUUUUUUUUUUUU